UUGACCCCUUCAGUGUCGAAGCUAACGCGUUAAGUAUCCCGCCUGGGGAGUACGGUCGCAAGAUUAAAACUCAAAGAAAUUGACGGGGGCCCGCACAAGCGGUGGAGCAUGUGUUUUAAUUCGAUGCAACGCGAAGAACCUUACCUAGGCUUGAGAUGUACUGGAAGAUUGGCAGAAAUGUCGUCGGCCGCAAGGGUCGGUACACAGGUGCUGCACGGCUGUCGUCAGCUCGUGUCGUAAGAUGUUGGGUUACGUCCCGCAAGGACCGCAACCCCUGCAUUUAGUUGCCAGCAUUCAGUUGGGCACUCUAGAUGGACUGCCGGUGUUAAACCGGAGGAAGGUGGGGAUGACGUCAAGUCCUCAUGGCCCUUAUGCCUAGGGCUACACACGUGCUACAAUGGUAGUCACAGAGCGAAGCUAAGCCGCGAGGUAGAGCAAAUCGCUUAAAAGCUAUCUAAGUUCAGAUUGAUCUCUGCAACUCGAGAUCAUGAAGUUGGAAUCGCUAGUGAUCGCGGAUCAGAAUGCCGCGGUGAAUACGUUCCCGGGCCUUGUACACACCGCCCGUCACACCAUGAAAGUCGGCUGUUCCAGAAGUCGCUGCGCUAACCGUAAGGAGGCAGGCGCCCAAGGUAUGAUCGAUGAUUGGGGUGAAGUCGUAACAAGAUAGCCGUAGGGGCACCUGCGGCUGGAUCACCUCCUUUCUA
rnacentral:rRNA from 1 species